rnacentral:rRNA from 1 species
CUCGUAGGCGGUUUGUCGCGUCGAAUGUGAAAACCCGGGGCUCAACCCCGGGCCUGCAUUCGAUACGGGCAGACUAGAGUUCGGUAGGGGAGUCUGGAAUUCCUGGUGUAGCGGUGAAAUGCGCAGAUAUCAGGAGGAACACCGGUGGCGAAGGCGGGACUCUGGGCCGAUACUGACGCUGAGGAGCGAAAGCGUGGGGAAGCAAACA